rnacentral:tRNA from 1 species
ACCUGGGUGGCUUGGUCGGUUAAGCAUCUGACUUCGGCUCAGGUCAUGAUCUCACGGUCCGUGGGUUCAAGCCCCACGUCGGGCU